AUUGAACGCUGGCGGCAUGCUUUACACAUGCAAGUCGAGCGGUAACAGGCCUUCGGGUGCUGACGAGUGGCGAACGGGUGAGUAAUGCAUCGGAACGUACCCAGAGGUGGGGGAUAACGCAGCGAAAGCUGUGCUAAUACCGCAUGUGAUCUGAGGAUGAAAGCGGGGGACCGAGCAGCAAUGUUUGGCCUCGCGCCCUUGGAGCGGCCGAUGCCGGAUUAGCUAGUUGGUGGGGUAAAGGCCUACCAAGGCGACGAUCCGUAGCUGGUCUGAGAGGACGACCAGCCACACUGGGACUGAGACACGGCCCAGACUCCUACGGGAGGCAGCAGUGGGGAAUUUUGGACAAUGGGCGCAAGCCUGAUCCAGCAAUGCCGCGUGCGGGAAGAAGGCCUUCGGGUUGUAAACCGCUUUUGGCAGGAACGAAACGGUGUCCGCUAAUACCGGGCGCUAAUGACGGUACCUGCAGAAUAAGCACCGGCUAACUACGUG
rnacentral:rRNA from 1 species